rnacentral:lncRNA from 1 species
CCUCAGCAAAACUAAUGUUCUUUUGAGAGAAUUGAGGUUUAAAAAAAGGGAAAUAACAUAGGAUUAUAUUAUAGUAUUAUGUUAUAAUGAAAUUAGUUUUACUUUAAAGGCUUCCUGAAAAGGUAUUGGAGACUUCUGGGAGUUGAGAUGGGGGGCGGUCCCUGGACCACCCAUUGAGAACCACUGAACACAAGGAAAUGCAUUAUUCAUAGUUCAAAGAUACAAAUGAAGAGAUUGCUAUCUUCUCAUUUUAUCCUCACAUGGCGGAAAACAAAGAGAGACAAAGGAAGCAAGCUCUAUAGAGUUUCUUCUUAUAAGGCAUUUAAAAUGCUAAAGAAUGAACAAAACUGCAGUGUCACAGAACUUCCAUGAAGACAAUAGAAGGAUGAAUAGUAAAGUGUGCUAAUCCCACCUAAAGUUAGUAGGGCCCAAAACCAAGAGAAGCAAUGAUAAUAAAAUAAAGUAACAUGUUUCAAAAGUGAUAAAUCAACCUAAAAAAUAUAACCUAGGUUCAAUUUUCAAAUGUGUAAUUUCAAAGAAUGAGAGAAAAUUGGUAGGAAUUGGUGAGAAUACCUUUGUAGCAGAAAUGCCAAUAACACUUAAGGAUUUAGAAGGAGGUCUAAAUAAAUUUAAUUAUUUUUAAAAGAUAAAAAGAAAUAAUUGAACACAACUUUACUAAAGGCCAUGAAUAUUCAUAGUAAGAGAAGAAGAUGCUGAGUGAGAUUUGUUGACGUUUUGUCGAUGAAAAGAGUUAAACUCUGUAAAAUACUUGAAGAAAUUUAUUCUGAGCCAAAUAUAAGUGACCAUGGCCUGUGACGCAGCCCUCAGGAGGUCCUGGGAACAUGUGCCCAAGGUGGUUGGGGUACAGCUAGGUUUUAUAUAUUUUAGGGAGGCAUGAGACA